AUGUGCACAAGGAAACAUGAAGGUGGCAUGGGUUUCAGAGAUUUUGAGAUGUUCAAUCUAGCUCUCUUGGCCGAAGAAGUGUGGCGGAUCCCGACAGCCCCGAACUGUCUAUGUGCUCGAGUCUUGAAGGCUCGCUAUUUUCCGGACACGGAUAGUAUGGCUGCGGCGUGUCCUCAAGGUUGCUCUUAUACUUGCAGAAGUUUGAUACAUGGUAGAAAUCUGCUAAUGCACGGACUAAUUUGGAGAAUAGGGGAUGACUCUAAAGUUAAUGCCUAUCAUGAUAAUUGGAUCCCCCGUAGUAGUAGUUUAGUGCCACUGGGUGCUGAACAUGUACCACAUGUGCUAAACGUGGCUGAUCUUAUGAAUCAACAGGGGCGUGCUUGGGAUGAAACAAAACUGCAGCAAGCCUUCUCAGAUGAUGACGUGAUGGAGAUUAAACGUAUCAUUGUGGGUGGGCCAGGAAUUGAGGAUCACGCUUGGAGUCAUACUAAGUCCGGCGUCUUUUCCGUGCGCGUAUCACCUCGGUAUGUCCAUCAAGGACGCGUUUGGUAG
rnacentral:rRNA from 1 species